AAGUCACAAAUAAUCGUGUAUACGCUGUGAAGGAGUACACAUGACAACCAACAAUAGCUACUCUUGUUUCUCCAGAGACGUACAUUUGCUGCUUAAUUAGGACAUCUAUGUACAUCUAAAAAAGGCCACGAAGCACCGCCUUAAAAGAAUGCUUGUAGGAACAACGAGGAACUACGAAAAGACAAAUAGCCCAUAUAGAAGGGUAGAUUCGUCUUUUCAUGCCUUGUAUUGUUGUUUCAGCCUAUAGGCGGUGCUUUCUAACUUCUUUCACAUGUCUGUCCAAAUUAAGCACUGAAUACACUCCAACAAACAAAACAGUAUUCUACCUAGGUUUAAUCGGAUUUAUUUGGCUAUGCUUUCUCCUCCUCCCGUGUGUAUCUUCUUCCAUUUUUGUUAGAAGAUUUGCUUCCUCUGAGUCCCUCUGCAGGUGCAGUUUCGAGCUUGACUCACACAUAACAGUGGUACACUAACAGCAACGGUCUUGAAAAUGUUGACUGGCUAACUACUAUCCAUGACAGUCGAAAAAGUAUAUCAAAUUGUCAUUUUCAAGGUGCACACAUAUAUAAGCACUACAACUAAACAAGAUUCUAUCUGUACUUUCUCCUUACAUUACAUAUAAUUCUCAUUAAUCAAUGCUAGUUUGCUCAUAAGUUUUUCAGACUUAAGCUACAAAAGCCGUUAUCCCCAAAAGCUUGGCAUACUGAUUGUCUCUUCCUUCCCUAAAAAGAAGCCCUCAACAUUUGCUGCAGCGAGGGAACUAAGAAGCAAAAAUUCGAACCCCCCACUCAUAGGAAGAAACAGUAACACACAUUUUACAUUUUUAAACUACUGGUUCCGUAAUUUGUUUGUUCUCUUGCAAUACCACAUAGCAAAAACAAAGUUGGGUGCGGCCAAAAUUCAAUCACAUGGUUUGACAUGUAUAGCUGGUUUGAUUUCUAUACCAACGUCUUAUAAUUAGCCGCCUCAAUGAAGUUGCUUUUUUUUUGUGCAAAUGACAGUUCUAUGUCUGUAGUGUAAAAUGUGCAGUUGUGAUUGAAUUUGUUGUUGCACUUUUCUCUGAUACAAGUCAGUUUUUUUCGGGAAAGCAGUCUCGAUGUGCGCGAGAUCCUUCAGAGAAUUGCGCGGUGGUGACCGAAGGAAAUAAGUUGUGUUGCUGUUGCUGAAGGAAGAAAUUACAAACACGGCAAUACCACUAAGGGCAAUGGGAGGGUUAUUGAAGUACUGAAUUAAGAGCUGGAAGCUCCUAGAAAGCUCUUACUCACUCUUCUUGUCCUAAUUCAGCUUCUAAUUACCAGAUCUCAACAUAGCUAUUUCUAGUUAUUUCUUCGUGAUUUACCCUGACGUUGACUGUAGCAAGCUAACAUACCUCUCUGCUGCAGAUGUAAGUAUGGAAAAACUUGUUAGAGUUGCAGUCCAGCACGUCCUCUACAAGUGCCUCAUCCGUGAUGCGUCAAAAAGUCGAUGAAAAGGGUUGUAGAGAACAAACACAAGUUGUUUAGCAGAUUGCAUUUUGUGAUCCUUAUUGGGUGGUGGUCCGGCGCUGAAAGACAAUGAUGACGUACCACCUCCUCUUCUGAAGUUGCUGACACCGAUGGAGAAAAAUUGCGGGUAAUACCUAUCUCAACAAUAUGGCGAUGACAACGUUCAACAGUUGCAUUAUGUUCAGGAGUAUGUGGAGGAGUGAGCAGUCUGUAGCCUCUCAUCCUGACACCAGACAGUCGUUCCUCAAUGAUUGUUUGAUCACUUGGAAUUCUUGUUGGAACUCUGUCGUUCUUGUGGCGGUGACCUUUUCACUGUUGGCAUUCCUCCUGAUUCGGAUCAUUUUCCAUCUUGACUCUGGGUUUUUAGUUCGUCUUAAGUAUGAGAGUUGUCCAUUUUAAGUACGAACUAGAGAAUGAUGAUACAGGGCGUUGGCCCUUCUUGAUACCUGCUCGUGCUUGGUUUUACGCAUGAUGUAUAUAUUGGGGGAGUCUUGUUAUUGAAGCUCUUGAAAAACUGUGAUAAAAACGUUAUUGACAUUUGGAGCUUUAAUUAAUUCAACUUGAUACUCUUUGUAUACUGUUUACUGAUUUUAUUGAUUAUAUUUCAAUUAUGCUACCCUUGACUUGAGAAUGAUGACUUGGUUAAUCUAUGGGAUGAAUCUAUAGUUUUUACACCACUAAGCUUUAUGCUUAGUGAUAGUUGUUCUAUUGUACGGAAUGUUCGAGAGGACAGUUGAAGUUGGUCAUUGAAGAUUGAGGUUUUGAAAGCCAUAAAGGAAGAUCAAACUUGCAUAUAGACAUAUAUAUAUUUUGUAUAAAUCUUGGGACUUGUACAUGAUCUAUGUAUUGUAUAUUUACAUGAGAUUUUGAGGGCUUAUUUGGGCAUGCCAUCAUGGGUUGUGAAAUAAGUAAGGUUAUACAUUUUUAUCUUUUGGGGUGUGUGUCCCAUGCUUGAAAAAUACUAAUUUUCCUUAUGUUUUUUAUGUUUGUGUGAAGCAUGAACCGGCUGAUUGCGGUAUUGGGAAAUUGGUAAUAUUAUUGUUAUUUCGUCCUCAAGUGUGAAGAUAAUAUAUGCACGAAAAGCUUGUCGGGUCUGCUUAACAGAUUUUGAGAGGCCUUUUCGUCAUUAGUUAAAAUUUCGUGCCUAAUAAAGUUUAAUCUGAAUUAAAUAUUUAAAAAAAUGGGUCAGAUGCACAUCUUUAGCUAAAUUAUGUGUUAUGAAACUUAUCCCUCAAAUAGAUUAGAUAUCAAUAUGCCUUCGUUAAUCUCUUUUAAAUAUUGCAAGUAUUAAACUACGUCUGUGGUUCUUGGAUUUUUUGUUGUGAGUUACUUGUAUAGUAGUUUUCUUUUGAAAAGAUUCUAUUUAGAGUUCAUGUUCACUUACAUGGUGUGCCAUAUCAUUAUGGCAUGUAGAGUGCACAUACAUCAUGUACAUGUCCUUAAUGCAGUGUGAUCUUCUCUUUCAAAUGAAUUAAGUUAUGGCCACUUCAUCUAACCGACCUAUGGAAGCUGCUUGUGAAGGUUUGGGUGCCUCUAUGGGAUUGGAGAAUAUAUAUCGAAUGAGCAUGUUCCCUACACUAGCGGGUCGGAAGUGGGAAACCAUCAACGUGUAAGAGCUGGUUCACAUCCUCACAUGAGUCAUGGUAUACAAGCCAUGAAACCUCCUUUUCAACAAAUGGCUGAAUUCUUCCACCACAUGGCUGAAUCGAUGCAUGAUCCCAAUGGGAUUAACUUUGAGAAAAUAAGAAAAAAUGGGUGGAGGGGAGUUUGAAGGAACGGUUGAUCCUACUGAUGCUGAACAACAGUUAGAUCGCAUGGAGAGGGUUUUUAAGUAGUUAGAGUGUUCAGACGUUGCCAAAUCUAAGCAUGCUAUUUAUCUAUUACAAUGGGUAAGUGUUCCGAAUGCAAAGUAAAACUUCCUUUUCAUACUUGGGAUGAUUUUGUUAAGGAAUUUCGUAUAAAGUAUGUACACCUGCUUAUUGUGAUGCAAAGAAAAAGGAAUUUUUGAAUCUAAGGCAGCGAGACAAGUCUAUUGUUGAAUAUGAACAAAGGUUUCUAAUGAUCUCUUGUUAUGCUGGAGGUAUUAUUAAAGAGGAAAAAGACAAGUGCAGGAAAUUUGAAGAUGGUUUAAAUGAUUUCAUUAGGAACCUGCAACAUGAGAACUUUUGCAAGUUAGUGUCUGUUGCUUUUACUUGGGAACGACUUGAUAAAGAAGAAGCUAGUAGAUAUGAAAACAGAUUCUGAAAGCCAAGACAAGAUUUUGGAGGUCCAUAACAAAAGGGGAAGGUUUGAUAAUUCUAAGGCUAGUAGUGAUAAUAGGCCAGCUCAACAGAAGCAAAACAGAUCAUAUUUUUCUUCAGCUAUCACUCCGAAUUAUGGCCAACUCAAGCCUCACGUUCCAACUUGUCCGCAAUGUGGAAAGAAUCAUUUUGGUACUUACAGGAGAGCCUGUAGUGCAUGUUUUAAUUGUGGGAGCUUUGAUCAUAAAGUGAAGGAUUGUCCUAAUCUUAAUAAUGCUCCUUCUUUGAAAAUUGAAGGUUCGGUUCAUAAGCCUUUUGUUAAUACUCCUCAAACUAAUAAAGGUGCAAGGCCUAGAAACACCCAAACCUGAGGUGCAAGUGGAGUUAAUCAAGCUAGUGGACAAAGGGGUACUUCACAUGCUUAUGAUAUGAGGCAGAGGGAUGAUCAAGAUGGGAAAGAUGUGGUUGUCGGUAAAUUUCACUUAUUUGGCUUGUGUGUGUUUACAUUGUUUAUUCUUGCUUCUAUACAUUCAUAUAUUUGUUCAUCACUUGUCCUUCCUGAAAAUGUGAAUCCAUGAGACUUAAUUAUGAUGUGUUGGUUGAAAGUCCGUUGGGUUAUCAGGUUGUGUGUAAUCGAAUUUAUCAUGAUUGUCCCUCCGUAUCUAGUCUUCCCUACUGAUUUGAUUGAAAUGCCCUUCAAGGACUUUGAUGUUAUUAUUGGGAUGGACUGACUUUAUAUCUAUCAUGCAGUCAUAGAUUGUAGGUCAAAGCUUGUGUCAUUUAAAGAUCCUACAUGUUCACAUAUCUUCAUACAAGGUGAAAGAUCUUUGACAUCUAGUAUUAUUUCUGCGGCCUUGGCAAGAAAGUUGAUGUGUUAAGGUUGUGGGGUAUACCUUUCUCACAUAGUUGAUACUCAGUUGGAGAGUCCUUUUAUCAAGGACAUAGAUAUGGUAUGUGAUUUUCCAGAAUUCUUUCCAGAAAACCUUCCUGGAUUGCCCCCGGAAAGAGAGGUUGAAUUUCCAAUCGAGCUUAUUCCUGGAUCUAAUCCUAUUUCCAUCACUCCUUAUAGAAUGGCUCCAGCAGAAUUAAGAGAAUUGAAAUGUCAAUUUCCAGAACUUCUUGAAAAAGGUUUUAUUAGACAUAAUCUUUCUCCUUGGGGAACCCAUGUUUUAUUUGUAAAGAAGAAAGAUGGCACUCUUAGGCUUAUAUUGACUAUAGACAAUUGAACAGAAUAACCAUAAAGAAUAAAUAUCCAUUACCAAGGAUUGAUGAUUUGUUUGACCAACUGAAGGGUGCUAAGGUAUUCUUGAAGAUCGAUUUAAGGUCUGGAUAUCACCAAGUGCGUGUUAGAAAGAAUGAUAUUCCUAAAACAUCUUUUUGAAAAAGGUAUGGUCAUUAUGAUAUUUUGGUGAUGCCAUUCAGAUUAACAAAUGCUCCUGCGGUAUUUAUGGAUCUAAUGAAUCGAGUAUUCAAGACUUAUCUUGAUCAGUUUGUGGUUGUUUUUAUAGAUGAUAUCUUAAUAUAUUUCAGAAGUAGUGAAAACCAUGAUAAACACCUCCGGAUUAUAUUGUGGAUUUUAGAGGAGAGAGAACUUUAUGCUAAACUUUCGAAGUGUGAAUUUUGGAUUGAUGAUGUGUAUUUUAUGGGACAUGUUGUAUCAAGUGAAAGUGUGAAGGUGGAUCCUAGUAAGAUACAAGUUGUUGAAUGGAGACCUCCCAAAAUCAGAUUGAGGUAAGAAGUUUCUUGGGCUUAGCAGGAUACUAUAGAAGAUUUGUGAAAGGUUUCUCCAUUAUUGCUUCCUCUUUGACUAAAUUCUUGUAGAAGGAAGUAAAGUUUAUUUGGGAUGAAAAAUGUCAAAUGAGCUUUGAAACACUCAAAUCCUUGUUGAUUCAAGCGCCUAUACUUACUCUACCAAUUGAAGGGAAAAAAUAUGUAGUGUACAAUGAUGCUUCUUACAAUGAUCUAGGAUGUGUUUUGAUGCAAGAAGGGAAGGUAAUAUCUUAUGCCUCUCGGAAAUUAAAACCACACGAAUUGAAUUAUCCUACUCAUGAUCUUGAACUUGCUGCUAUAGUGUUUGCUCUAAAAAUUUGGCGACAUUAUUUGUAUGGGGAGAAAUGUCAUAUAUUCACUGAUCACAAGAGCUUAAAGUAAUAGGGUACUCAAAAGGAGCUGAAUCUAAGACAACGUAUAUGGCUUGAACUCAUCAAGGAUUAUGAUUGCACGAUUGAUUAUCAUCCAGGUAAAGCUAUUGUGGUUGCCGAUGCCUUAAGUUGGAAAUCAUUCUCAAGUAUUUCUUUGAGUCCUUUGACGUUGCUCCUUGAGUUAAGAGCCAUGAAUGUUUUUUUUACACCUCAUUCAAAUGGUUCAGUUAUUGCUAAUUUGCAAGUUAGCCAAUAUUACUUGAAUAAGUUAAAGGAACCACAAAAGUUAGAUGAGAAACUUGUAAAAUUGAGUAGAGAGGUCCAAAAUGGGGAGAAUCUUGAUUUUAUAUUAACAAAGGAUGGUGUAUUACUUAUCAAAAUAGGUUAUGUGUCCCUAAUGAUGACAACUUGAGGAGAGAAAUAUUGAAAGAAGCACAUAGUUCACAAUAUGUGAUGCAUGCUAGAGGUACAAAGAUGCAUACUAUCAAAGAAAAUUAUUGGUGGAAUGGUAUGAAGAGAGACAUUGCAGAGUUCAUUUCAAAAUGUUUGGUUUGUCAACAAGUAAAGGCCGAACACCAAGUCUCGGAUGGUUUACUACAACCCUUUUCUAUGCCAGUAUGGAAAUGGGAGAGAAUAACUAUGGACUUUGUUUGUGGACUUCCUCACACUAAGAGAAACCAUGAUGCAAUAUGGGUGAUUUUAGAUAGGCUAACAAAGAAUGAUCACAUCUUAGGAAUUAGAAUGGAUUACUUACUUGAGCGUUUAGCCAAGUUGUACAUUAAUGAUAUUGUAAGAAUACAUGGGAUCCCAGUGUCUAUUCUAUCCGAUCGAGACCCAAGGUUUACAUCUAGAUUUUGGGGCAGCUUGCACGAUACAAAUUUUGGAGGAUAUGCUUCGAGCUUGCAUUAUGGAGUUUGAGGGUAGUAGGGACAAACACUUGGCUUUAAUAGAAUUUGCUUACAAUAAUAGCUACUAAUCAAGUAUUGGAAUGCCUCCAUAUGAAGCCUUAUAUGGAAGAAAAUGUCGGACCCCGCUUUGUUGGAGUGAAAUUGGUGAGAGAAAGCUUAUUAGUCCUAAAAUGGUGCAGCAAACCGAAGAGAAGGUGAAAACUAUCAAGGAUUGCUUAAAGAUUUCUUCGAAUAGAAAAAAGUUUUACGCUAAUCUAAAAAGGCGUGACAUUGAAUAUCAAGUUGGAGAUAAAGUAUUCUUAAAGGUGUCUCCAUGGAAAAAGAUUAUGAGAUUUGGCCAAAAAGGAAAACUUAGUCCCCAAUUUAUUGGACCUUAUGAGAUACUUGAAAGGGUUGAACCUGUUGCAUAUAAAUUGGCUUUAACACUGGAGUUAGACAAUAUCCACAAUGUCAUCCAUGUUUCUAUGCUCCGAAGAUAUCAUUAUGAUCCAUCUCAUGCCCUUCCAAUUAAAUCUAUUAAGGUUAAUUCCGACUUGACGUAAAAUAAAGAACCUAUCCUAAUUCUAGCUCGUGAGGUAAAGCAACUUAGAAACAAGAAAAUUCCCUUAGUAAAGGUACUUUGGAUGAACCAUUCUGGAAAAAAAGCUACCUGGGAGAGAGAAGAUUACAUGAGGAGACAAUAUCCACACUUGUUUCGGUACUAGCCUAAGGUAAAUUUCGAGACGAAAUUUUUUUAAGGGGGAGAGAGUUGUAAAACCCCUAAGAUACUAGAACAUUAAUUACAUAUCCAUACAUUACUAUAAUAUGUUUUAUUCUCAUUUUGGGGACAUGAAAUUUUGUGAUACUUGAAAAUGUGGUUAACACAAAUCGUUAUCGUAAUUUAACGUAUUGUAGGGGUUAUUUACAUAAUUUUCAAAUUAUGUUUACACAUAUAUUGGAGGUGUGGGUGUAAGGUAUAUAAAAAUGAAUAUAUAUAUAUAUAUAUAUAUGAUUUCUGGGCAGCCAACUAUUUUUAGGGGCAACCCCUUUUGUUGACAUGUGUAGAGGUGAUGAGGGUCUUUUUGUAUCAAUAUAUUAUACACCUCCUUUGGUUGUUUUCUCUUUCCUGAAGUAUAAUAACAUUAAAACAUUAGCUAAACAGUUGUUCUGCAAAAUGAAGAGAAAAACAGGCUUCUUUUAGGUGAAUUCGACACACAACUUUUUGUAAUGAAAAAAAAAUAUGUUUCUGAUCUGGGUAGUCUUUUGUAUUUUAAGCAUAUCUUGUCAUAUAGAACUUAGUUUUCAAUGAAUAAAUAUGAUUUAGAAAGACAUUUCGUUGUCAUACAACUCUUAUGUUUAUGAAAACUCUAAUUUUGCUGUUAUGGAUUCCAAAUAUGGGACGCAACAUAUGAAGAAUUCUGUCCAGCUACUGGAAUUAGAAAUUCUGUCUGUACAAAUGCUAGUGCUUUUAUUAUAUAUUUUUGUACAAAGCGUAUUUUGAGGUGAUUCUUGAUUAUUUGCAAGAUUAAGAGAUGUGCCUACAUCUUUUAUUAUGGAUGUAAAGUCCAGUUUUGCUGUUUCCUAUUUGAAAACUAAGUUGCGACAUGAAGUACUUUUGUUGGACAAAAUCAUUGUUUUGGGAGCUUAGUCGUAAAUGUGCAGGCUAGGCCUACUUGUGAUGAUUAUCUAGUAUUUACUUCAACAUUAUUGAGAUACUAGAAGUUAAAUAAGUCAUUUAAUUAUAUUUUUAAGGUUGUAUAUACUCGUGAACAAGUUGAGGAUCUUCAUACGUUGGUUGGUCUACGGUUUGAACUCUUGAAGUCGUUUUGGAUUGUUUCUUUGCUAAAAUAUUGCGAUUUGUGUAUUAAAUUGUACUUGUACUAUUUUUACCUGCUGGUAUAUCUGAAAUUUUAUAUUGGUACGUUGAUUAUCUCUUGUCACUUUGCAUUGUUGUGUUGUUGUCGUUUAAGAGGUUGAAGACUCUUGUGUAACUCGCCUACUUGUACGGAUUUUUUGAUCACUUGGCAUUCUUGUUGGGAAUCUAUCCUUCUUGUGGUUGUGACCUUGUCACUAUUGGCAUGCCUGUUGAUUCGGAUCAUUUGCCCAUCUUGACUCUGGAUUUUUAGUUCGUCUUAUGUAUGGGAGUUGUCCAUUUUAAGUACGAACUAGAAAGCACUUUUAAUAUGGUUCUUGGUUCUAUUUUUUUUUGUUGGGUUUUGACCCUUUUUGAUACAUGGCGUUGGCCCUUCUUGAUAUCUUAUUGAAGCUCUUGAAAAAUUGUGCUAUGAACAUUAUUGACAUUUGGAGCUGUAUUAAUCAAACUUGAUACUCUUUGUAUACUAUUUACUUAUUUUGUGAUAAUAUUUAAAUUAUGCUAACCUUGACUUGAGAAUGAUGACUUGGUGAAUCUAAGGGCCGGAUCUAUAGUUUUUACACCUCUAAGCUUUAUGCUUAGCAAUAGUUGAUUCUAUCGUAGGGAACGUUCGUGAGGAUGGUUGAAGUUAGUCAUUGAAGAUUGAGGUUUUGAAAGCCUUAAAGGAAGAUCAAACUUGCAUAUAGACAUAUAUAUUUUGUAUGAACCUUGGGACUUGUACAUGAUCUCUGUAUUGUAUAUUUACAUGAGAUUUUGAGGGCUUAUUUGGUCAUGUAAUCAUGGCUUGUAAAAUAAGUACGGUUAUACGUUUUUAUCUUUUGGGGUGUGUGAACCCAUGCUUGAAAAAUACUAAUUUGCCUUAUGUUUUCUAUGUUUGUGUGAAGCAUGAACCAACUGAUUGCGGUACAGGGAAGUUGAUAAUAUUAUUGUUAUUUCGUCCUUAAGUGUGAAGAUAAUAUAUGCACGAAAAGCUUGUCUGUUUUGCUUAACAGAUUUUUAGAGGAUUUUUCGUCAUUAGUUAAAAUUUCGUGCCAUAUAAAUUUUGACCUGAAUUAAAUCUUUUUAAAAAAAAUGGGUCAGAUGGACAUCCUCAGCUAAAUUAUGUGUUAUGAAACAUAUCCCUCAACUAGAUUAGAUAUUAAUAUGCCUUCGUUAAUCUCUUUUAAAUAUUGCAAGUACUAAACUAGGUUUCUUGUCAAGUUGUAGUAUCUCUCGCAUAGGGGCGCAACACCCCAUAUGAGCGUUUUCAUUUUUCUAUUAUUAUUUUGCCUUCUUGAAGUUUGCAAGUUAAUGAACAUGUGUAAGUUUUUACAUAAAUGUUCAGUAGCUUGGUGUGAAUAGUGUCAUGCUUGUCUGAGUAACUCAAGUAAGAAUCUCACCUCCAAUAAAGAUUUUUGUUUUAAUUAAAAUUAAAUUAUUUCUUUAAAACUUAAUAAAUUUUCCCUGUGGAAGAAGAUCUCCUUAUAUUUUAAUACCUUUUUCUUAAAUUUUAAUGCAUUUUUCUUUUGAAAUAAGGUUUUAGUUUUAAAAAAUCCUUAACUUUUAAAACCUUUUCCUUGUGGAAUAAGAUAUGAUUUGAGUAAUAAUUGGAGACAAAAAUAUAUAUAGGAAAGUCUCAAAAUAGAAUUCCGUUUCGCUUUUUCAUAUUUGUUUUGAUGUAGAUGAAGCCAACACCAAUUUUUGAGGAAACGUCAACCUAAAAGAGGAAAAUGUCACCUCUAGGAGGAGAAUUUUUUUGUCAUUUAAAUCUGAUCUCAAUUAAACUGUUUUUGUAUCUUAGCCCAACUUAAAUGGUAAAUAGAAGCUACUUUAUCAUAUAUGUAGGUAGUUGUAUGCUUUGUCAGAACUAAUAUUAUUGGUUCAUAUAAAUAACUUUUUCUAGCAUGAUGAGAAUUGAGAUUCUGGACUUAUAUUCUCUCAACUAUUUAUUCAUAUUUCUUGAACUUCUAUUGUAGACAUUUUCUGUUCAACCAUUUGUUUCUUAUUUCUUAAACUUAUAGUGUGGAAGUUCCUAGUUGUUUCUAUAAGUUUUCCAUUGUUAAUUUUCACGUACCUUUGCGGGAGAUAGUUUCUUUCUACCCUGUUUUUGCCGUCAGCAAGCCUGACUUCUGUACAAUCCAAUAGAGUUUGUAAUGCACUUUCAUUUCUACAGGUUUAUUAGCUUCAUUUCAUUGUUGACUUUUUCAUAGUGUUUCUAUUAUUCAUUCUUGUUGGUGAUCUUAAAGUAAUGAGUUAGUCAAAAUAGGUAUAGAAAAUUGGAUAUAUUUGGGUUGUGCUAAAUGUAUCAAGAGAGGUGGAUGGUGAAUGCAACAAACUGGAUGUGUUAGUAGGGAAGUAGUUCAAGUUUUAUCUCUUUCUUGGAGCAUGACAAGUGUCACUUCCAAAUAUCUGUUGUUACCAUAGUAUAAAUGCUUUAAGAUACCUCCAUUAUUUAGGUUUUUGCUGGCCAAGGUCAAAUUUUCCAUACUUCCUAUUGAAUAGUUUCUCAUUGCUUUCUAUUUUGUAGUCUGUAGGCUCUCAUCCUGACACCAGACAGUCGUUCCUCAAUGGUAGAUAACACUGAAGUUAUCAGUUUUCUUGUUUCUGCGGUGCUUGUGCACGAUGGAGAUGGGGAGUGAACUUUCAAAAGCAGUUUGUGCUUCCUCAAAACCAUUUUCCAAUGACAUCCUCCCUCUACUUGAUUAGAUUUUCAUGCAUCUAAUUUAUUCAUACUGACAGGUUUUUUGAAGUGGCUCAAAUUUUAGGGAAUAUGGUCGGUGCACUUGCUGAGCAACCUUCAUCAACAUAAUCAGGUGGUAUCUUCGUUUAUCAGAUGAGCCAAGGUUAAUUUUCUGCUUAUAUUUUUCUUUCAGCAUGCUUAUGUGUGAUAAAUCACAGCCCUUUUUAAAUUGAUCUUUCUGUUUCUGUGAGGCUUAAAAAUUUGUCUCGACACCUUUAGCAGCUGUCUUCGUGUAUGUAAUAUUUGGCCAUAUAAGUAGCAGCUCCCUCGUGAAUCAUGAAUUAUUCUUUUCUCAGCAUCAGACCCUUGUUGCAUUAUGUUAUCAGGAGUAUAUGAUAAUGAGAAGGUGGCUGCAACAAUUGCUCCUUAACGUAAUGGAGCUCUACUAGCAGGAACAUUUGAUUUUUAUGCUGUGAACUGAAUUCAUACAAAUUGGACUUAAAUUAAGGAUGCAUAUUCUCUACUUAUGGGACGUGGAAUUUGAUGGAGGCGCAUACUUGGGAAUGCAGCAUUUCUGCACUCAUAUUUAUUUAUGUUGUGCAUUAUGUGAAUUGUUAUGAAGAUUAUUAUUAGGAGAUUAAGGGGUCGGUUGGUGUGAAGGAUAAUACCAUAUGGUCCUGGAAUUAUAUUAUAGUACUACUUAAUUUGUUGUUUGGUUGACAAGUUUAUUCCGGGACUAAUGAUUUGUACUGGAAUAAGUUAUCCAUCCCCUUGGGUGGUAUAUUAAUUUCGGGA